GGGAAUAUUGGACAAUGGGGGCAACCCUGAUCCAGCCAUGCCGCGUGUGUGAAGAAGGCCUUUUGGUUGUAAAGCACUUUAAGCAGAUGAAGAAGACUCCGUGGAUUAAUACCCACGGCACGUAUGACAUUAGCUGCAGAAUAAGCACCGGCUAACUCUGUGCCAGCAGCCGCGGUAAUACAGAGGGUGCAAGCGUUAAUCGGAAUUACUGGGCGUAAAGCGAGCGUAGGUGGCUUGAUAAGUCAGAUGUGAAAUCCCCGGGCUUAACCUGGGAACUGCAUCUGAUACUGUUAGGCUAGAAUAGGUGAGAGGAAGGUAGAAUUCCAGGUGUAGCGGUGAAAUGCGUAGAGAUCUGGAGGAAUACCGAUGGCGAAGGCAGCCUUCUGGCAUCAUAUUGACACUGAGGUUCGAAAGCGUGGGUAGCAAACAGGAUUAGAUACCCUGGUAGUCCACGCCGUAAACGAUGUCUACUAGUCGUUGGGUCCCUUGAGGACUUAGUGACGCAGCUAACGCAAUAAGUAGACCGCCUGGGGAGUACGGCCGCAAGGUUAAAACUCAAAUGAAUUGACGGGGGCCCGCACAAGCGGUGGAGCAUGUGGUUUAAUUCGAUGCAACGCGAAGAACCUUACCUGGUCUUGACAUAUCUAGAAUCCUGCAGAGAUGCGGGAGUGCCUUCGGGAAUUAGAAUACAGGUGCUGCAUGGCUGUCGUCAGCUCGUGUCGUGAGAUGUUGGGUUAAGUCCCGCAACGAGCGCAACCCUUGUCCUUAGUUACCAGCGGGUUAAGCCGGGAACUCUAAGGAUACUGCCAGUGACAAACUGGAGGAAGGCGGGGACGACGUCAAGUCAUCAUGGCCCUUACGACCAGGGCUACACACGUGCUACAAUGGUAGGUACAGAGGGCAGCUACACAGCGAUGUGAUGCGAAUCUCAAAAAGCCUAUCGUAGUCCAGAUUGGAGUCUGCAACUCGACUCCAUGAAGUAGGAAUCGCUAGUAAUCGCGGAUCAGAAUGCCGCGGUGAAUACGUUCCCGGGCCUUGUACACACCGCCCGUCACACCAUGGGAGUUGAUUGCACCAGAAGUGGAUAGCYUAACCKUMRGGAAGGCGUUCACCACGGUGUGGUUGAUGACUGGGGUGAAGUCGUAACAAGGUAACCAAR
rnacentral:rRNA from 1 species